UGGACACCCCCAUCCUCUGGUCAGGGGUCUUAGGGAGUACUCACUUUACAGCAGCAACAGCAAUAGCAAUAAUAACAGCGUGGCUGCCACUUCCUGAGCACUUACUAAGUGCCAGGCACUGCCCUAGGAGCUUACUCCUGGGAGGCAGGGGCCGUUCCCAUUUCCAUUUUACAGGGGAGAAAACAGAAGCACAGAGAGGGUGAAAGACUCACUUUCUAGGCCAGCAAGUAGAAGGGCCAGGGAUUAGACUCUAUGCACCUGGACCCUUCACUGCUAGGGAAACCAAGGCCAGAGAGAGGAAAGGGCCCACCCUGAUGCCCCAGCACUGGAAUAGAAGAGCCAGGAUCAGAAAUGCCAGGUGCCACCGAGGACAGAGGAAUGAAGGUGGGGUCCCACGUCCCGUGCAUGUUCCCUUAGCUCCCUGGGCCUCUGUUUCUCUGUCUGUAAAGUAGAGAUGCUAACGGCACCUGCCCCAGAUAAUGGGUUUGAAGAUUAAUUGUUAAUGCACACAAAGCACUUAGGAGACAGCCUGCAUGCAGUAGGUGCCUGGUGCAGCCGCUGUCACCACUCUGCUGGGGCCCUGGGGCUGUAGUGCUGGCACUGGGUCUCUGGCGAGGCAGUGGGCAGCUGGGACAUCCCCACAGUUUACAAGAGAUAGCCUUGAGGUAGGACCCGCUCACCCAAGUCCGGCAGAGAGGACAGCCAGGCUUACAUGACUGACUGCUCGGCGUCUACCCACACACCAACCUGGUGUCCCCUCACUGAGCUCCCUGGCCUGGUUGCUCAUUGCGUGGGCCUCAGCCAAGGCUGGCCAGCCUGGCAGGAUGAGGCAUGUGGCUCGAACCCUUGGGGAUGCCCCCUUGGUGGCAGGGAGGGCCUGCCCAGAAGGGACUCUCUGUUUAUGGGUGUCACUGGCCAAGAAGCUGGCAGUGCUGACAAAUCUCGUGUGGUCCUCAUGCUGUGCAGGGCUUGUUCUCAAUGCUUUAUGCCUAACUGACAGGGCAGGGAACAGCAGCAGCCCAUUCUGCAGAUGGCAAAACUGAGCUGAGAGGCAAAGUUCCACAGCUGGUGAGCCACAGGGACCCAGAGGCUGCACCUUGACCACCACCUAUGAGAAUUAGACACAACAGUGGUCAUACCUCUGGAGCCCACACCAUGAGCCAGGCGUUGUUCUCACAGACUCAUUCCAUCUUCACAAUACCCUACGGGGUAGUGGCGAUUACUACCUGAAUUUUACAGAGACUCCAGGUGCAGAAAGAUUCUGGUGCUGGAAGCUUCCUAGAGGACUGGUCUCUAUCCCCUUCCCAGAGGGCUCCUGCCUGUGUGGAGAGAUGAUGGCUCCCCACCACUGCCACCUCCCCCACACCCCUGCCCACCCACGUCUCCCGCUCCCCGGGCUCACAGUCUGGGUAGAGGCUGUUUCAAACAGAAGACCAAGCAUCUGCGGGAAUCCAGACCAGACCCUAAGCCAGCUCCAGAGGGCUUCCUGGGGGAGAAGAGUUUUGACAAGAGUAUCCAAGGCAGAAGAAACAGCCUGGGCAAAAGCCUGGAGGUGGGGAAAUUGAGACCUCCUGGAGGCUGAGGAAGGCUGGAGGGAGGGAGGAGAACAAAGGGCCUUAACCAGCCAUCAGGUGAGGGCAGCUAGGCCUUCCCCAGGGC
rnacentral:lncRNA from 1 species